GGCGGCGACCAUACCACGUUGAAAGCACCGGUUCUCGUCCGAUCACCGCAGUUAAGCAACGUUGGGCCCGGUCAGUACUUGCAUGGGUGACCGGCUGGGAAUACCGGGUGUCGCCGGCU
rfam:Schistosoma mansoni, Puerto Rico, WGS project CABG01000000 data, contig: 0387